UACGUAGGUGGCAAGCGUUGUCCGGAUUUACUGGGCGUAAAGAGCGCGCAGGCGGUCGUUCAAGUCGCGUGUGAAAGCCCCCGGCUCAACUGGGGAGGGUCACGCGAUACUGAUCGACUGGAAGGCAGGAGAGGGUAGUGGAAUUCCCGGUGUAGCGGUGAAAUGCGCAGAUAUCGGGAGGAACACCAGUAGCGAAGGCGGCUCGCUGGGCCAUUCCGUGACGCUGAGAUGCGAAAGCUAGGGGAGCGAACAGG
rnacentral:rRNA from 1 species